AUUGAACGCUGGCGGAAUGCUUUACACAUGCAAGUCGAACGGCAGCACGGGGCAACCUGGUGGCGAGUGGCGAACGGGUGAGUAAUAUAUCGGAACGUGCCCAAUCGUGGGGGAUAACGUAGCGAAAGUUACGCUAAUACCGCAUACGAUCUACGGAUGAAAGCGGGGGAUCGCAAGACCUCGCGCGAAUGGAGCGGCCGAUAUCAGAUUAGGUAGUUGGUGGGGUAAAGGCUCACCAAGCCAACGAUCUGUAGCUGGUCUGAGAGGACGACCAGCCACACUGGAACUGAGACACGGUCCAGACUCCUACGGGAGGCAGCAGUGGGGAAUUUUGGACAAUGGGCGCAAGCCUGAUCCAGCCAUUCCGCGUGCAGGAUGAAGGCCUUCGGGUUGUAAACUGCUUUUGUACGGAACGAAACGGUCUGCCCUAAUACGGCAGGCUAAUGACGGUACCGUAAGAAUAAGCACCGGCCUAACCUACGUG
rnacentral:rRNA from 1 species